rnacentral:rRNA from 1 species
AUGGCUCAGGAUGAACGCUGGCGGCGUGCUUAACACAUGCAAGUCGAACGAUGAAGCCCAGCUUGCUGGGUGGAUUAGUGGCGAACGGGUGAGUAACACGUGAGUAACCUGCCCUUAACUCUGGGAUAAGCCUGGGAAACUGGGUCUAAUACCGGAUAGGAGCGUCCACCGCAUGGUGGGUGUUGGAAAGAUUUAUCGGUUUUGGAUGGACUCGCGGCCUAUCAGCUUGUUGGUGAGGUAAUGGCUCACCAAGGCGACGACGGGUAGCCGGCCUGAGAGGGUGACCGGCCACACUGGGACUGAGACACGGCCCAGACUCCUACGGGAGGCAGCAGUGGGGAAUAUUGCACAAUGGGCGCAAGCCUGAUGCAGCGACGCCGCGUGAGGGAUGACGGCCUUCGGGUUGUAAACCUCUUUCAGUAGGGAAGAAGCGAAAGUGACGGUACCUGCAGAAGAAGCACCGGCUAACUACGUGCCAGC